GACGAACGCUGGCGGCGUGCUUAACACAUGCAAGUCGAACGGAAAGGCCCUGCUUUUGUGGUGUGCUCGAGUGGCGAACGGGUGAGUAACACGUGAGUAACCUGCCCUUGACUUUGGGAUAACGUCAGGAAACUGGGGCUAAUACCGGAUAGGAGCUCCUGCUGCAUGGUGGUGGUUGGAAAGUUUCGGCGGUUGGGGAUGGACUCGCGGCUUAUCAGCUUGUUGGUGGGGUAGUGGCUUACCAAGGCUUUGACGGGUAGCCGGCCUGAGAGGGUGACCGGCCACAUUGGGACUGGGAUACGGCCCAGACUCCUACGGGAGGCAGCAGUGGGGAAUAUUGCACAAUGGGCGGAAGCCUGAUGCAGCAACGCCGCGUGCGGGAUGACGGCCUUCGGGUUGUAAACCGCUUUCGCCUGUGACGAAGCGUGAGUGACGGUAAUGGGUAAAGAAGCACCGGCUAACUACGUG
rnacentral:rRNA from 1 species